rnacentral:piRNA from 1 species
UGAUGGAAAGGUUUAAGAGGAGUUAGG